UACGUAGGGGGCGAGCGUUGUCCGGAUUUAUUGGGCGUAAAGAGCGUGUAGGCGGUUCGGUAAGUCUGUCGUGAAAUCCUGAGGCUCAACCUUGGACGUGCGAUGGAUACUGCCGGGCUAGAGGAUGGUAGAGGCGAGUGGAAUUCUCGGUGUAGCGGUGAAAUGCGCAGAUAUCGGGAGGAACACCAGUAGCGAAGGCGGCUCGCUGGGCCAUUCCUGACGCUGAGACGCGAAAGCCAGGGAGCAAACGGG
rnacentral:rRNA from 1 species